rnacentral:rRNA from 1 species
AGUCGAGCGGAGUGAUGGUGCUUGCACUAUCACUUACCGGCGGACGGGUGAGUAAUGCUUAGGAAUCUGCCAUUUAGUGGGGGACAACAUUCCGAAAGGAAUGCUAAUACCGCAUACGUCCUACGGGAGAAAGCAGGGGAUCUUCGGACCUUGCGCUAAAUGAUGAGCCUAAGUCGGAUUAGCUAGUUGGUGGGGUAAAGGCCUACCAAGGCGACGAUCUGUAGCGGGUCUGAGAGGAUGAUCCGCCACACUGGGACUGAGACACGGCCCAGACUCCUACGGGAGGCAGCAGUGGGGAAUAUUGGACAAUGGGCGGAAGCCUGAUCCAGCCAUGCCGUGUUUUUUAAGAAGGCCUUUUGGUUGUAAAGCACUUUAAGCGAGGAGGAGGCUCUCCUAGUUAAUACCUAGGAAGAGUGGACGUUACUCGCAGAAUAAGCACCGGCUAACUCUGUGCCAGCAGCCGCGGUAA